rnacentral:lncRNA from 1 species
CUUCCGGAAUUAUGAUGAGCUCAUAAGCUAAGAUCUUCUAAGUAAUUCAAAUUCCAUAAGGGAUCCAUUCAGAAUUUUUUUCUUUUAGAUUAAGCUUUACGGGACGUUUCUAACAGGGGCUUAAAACUAUAAAUGUCCCAAUCAGCAACUUUUAAAUAAUUGCCCUAAUGACCUAACCCUAGAAAUCUAUCAAGUUUCUUGGAUCGAACAUCGGUGGGUCCCGUUCCUCCCUAUUUUCGUAUCCAUGGCGACCAUUUCCUGUUCCUUCACUAAACUCCUCGUUCCUCCAUCACCAGCGGUGGAGAAGAAAUAGAAAAAAUGGGCAUAGCAGGAGAAGUAGGGAUCAAAGAUGACGAAGGGAUUUGGGAAUUGGAAUUCCAUAAUACAUUAUUAUCCAAUAAUCAUGAGAUUUUUG